GGUCUGGUGGUCUAGAAUAGUGGUAUGAUUCUCGCUUAGGGCUCACCCUAGCAGGUUUGCGAGAGGUCCCGGGUUCAAUCCCCGGCCAAACCC